UUUUCACUGUCUCAUUUCAUCUUCCUUUCUCUGAGUUCAAAAAUCGACCUAUUCCUUCUCCAGUUCAUUUUUCACCCAAUUUAUGUUCCUUCUGUACGCAUCAAAUGAUUUCUCUAAGUCGACCUAUUGUUGAAUCUUGUUCCUAAAAUCUGUUCUCGUAAGAGUUUUGUUAGGGUUAUCUCCAAAGUUAAGUAUAUAUGAAUAACGAAGAUGUUGGUAGGACACGACAUGGUAAGGAGUCAUUGCAUGCUUCUGUCUGCGGAGAGCGAGUGGCAAACACUCAGGCAAGGACACGUGGGUGACGAUGUGGUCAACUGGUCGUGGGCGUGGUCUGAGCGAGGGACCGGAAGGCUCUGGUUCAUAGUCUCAGGUUGAUAUCGAGAUGCCAUCAUCAAAGGAAGUAUCUGGCUCACAACCUCCUUCUGUAGGAGUGGUUCAAGAGGGCUAUGGCAGAGGACCUUCUGAGACGUCUUUGUUGCCGAAUUUUGGCCAACAUAUUGCAGCCAAGAUUUGGAAUGGAGAGACAAAAUGAAAAGAACAAAUGGCAUCCCAAAGUCAAGAUAGUUUACGAUAACAAUCCAAAGCGAUACGCUAAAAUAGUAGAAGUUCAAAUAGUUCAACAACAAAGAUCUACUUUUGAACAACUCGAACGUGCAAGUUCUUUGAUGACUUUUCGAGAUCAAAGAUAAGCUUACCACCUUCUUCCAUCACACGUUCUCUGCUGAAAUUGAACCACUGUCCAUCCAAGUAUUUUUCAUAGCUUGCUCUUUCGGCGGUAAUGGGGCGACACUUAUAUUUUCUCUAUGUCUGGUCAUCAAUGAUAGUGAUUGUUUUGCGCAUUUCUUUCAGAAUUGUUCUUGACACCUCGUUUGGAAAAUACUAAACAGGGAAAU